GACGAACGCUGGCGGCGUGCUUAACACAUGCAAGUCGAACGGAAAGGCCCUGCUUUUGUUGGGUGCUCGAGUGGCGAACGGGUGAGUAACACGUGAGUAACCUGCCCUUGACUUUGGGAUAACUUCAGGAAACUGGGGCUCAUACCGGAUAGGAGCUCCUGCUGCAUGGUGGGGGUUGGAAAGUUUCGGCGGUUGGGGAUGGACUCGCGGCUUAUCAGCUUGUUGGUGGGGUAGUGGCUUACCAAGGCUUUGACGGGUAGCCGGCCUGAGAGGGUGACCGGCCACAUUGGGACUGAGAUACGGACCAGACGCCUACGGGAGGCAGCAGUGGGGAAUAUUGCACAAUGGGCGGAAGCCUGAUGCAGCAACGCCGCGUGCGGGAUGACGGCCUUCGGGUUGUAAACCGCUUUCGCCUGUGACGAAGCGUGAGUGACGGUAAUGGGUAAAGAAGCACCGGCUAACUACGUG
rnacentral:rRNA from 1 species